rnacentral:rRNA from 1 species
UACGUAGGGUGCGAGCGUUAAUCGGAAUUACUGGGCGUAAAGUGUGCGCAGGCGGCCGCGCAAGUCGAGUGUGAAAGCCCCGAGCUUAACUUGGGAAUUGCGCUCGAAACUACGUGGCUGGAGUGUGGCAGAGGAAGGUGGAAUUCCACGUGUAGCGGUGAAAUGCGUAGAGAUGUGGAGGAAUACCGCAAUGGCGAAGGCAGCCC